UAUCGACGAGUUUGAAUCCGUGGCUCAGAAUGAACGUUGGCGGCGUGCCUAACACAUGCAAGUCGAACGCGAAAGUCCUUCGGGAUGAGUAAAGUGGCGGACUGGUGAGUAACACGUGAGAAUCUGCCCUCUAGUGAAGGAUACCUCCGAGAAAUCGGAGUUAAUACUGCAUAAGUCCCUUCGGGGAGAAAAGUGGCUUAAUUGCUAUUGCUAGAGGAUGAGCUUGCGGUCUAUUAGUUAGUUGGUAGGGUAAAGGCCUACCAAGACUGUGAUGGAUAGUCGGCCUGAGAGGAUGUACGACCACAUUGGGACUGAGAUACGGCCCAGACUCCUACGGGAGGCAGCAGUGAGGAAUAUUGCACAAUGGACGAAAGUCUGGUGCAGCGACGCCGCGUGGAGGAUGAAGGUUUUCGGAUUGUAAACUCCUGUUAAGCGGGAAGAAAGACCCAUUUCUAAUAAAGAUGGGAGAUGACGGUACCGCUAAAGAAAGCACCGGCUAACUUCGUG
rnacentral:rRNA from 1 species